UUGGUAUCACAUUACGGAUAAACCCCAGUUUUUGAACUUCACAUACUGCACAAUGCUGGUGAUGUAGCAGCCCUGUUGGGAUUUUGUUAGGGAUCCUUAAUCCUUGUUGUGUUGCUGUGAACAGGACUGUGUUUAUUUGCAGGAGUCCAUUCUCAAUUUUCUGUGCAAAUUGGGGAAGGCUGUUGAUAAUCGGUGGAUGCUAUAGUGCCCAUGGAAAGACUCUAGUCUGAAGAUACCAGUCUCUCCCUCCCAAGAUCACCUCCCCUGACCAACCUUCUGCACUCCUGACAGAUACAAGGGAGCAAGCAAGUUGCACCCAACCUAAUAGUAAAUUGCAGGGACAUUUCCAUUCUAAGGAAGGAAUUUUUGUGUGUGUUGCAACUCAGCUUCUGCUCUGGCAUUUUGCUGUGGUAAGCAUUGCAAGGCAAGGUUUAUAUAGGUUAGAAGAGAAUUUUUUAUUAUGCCCUCUGUGUUAUCAUUUAUUAGCAUUUAUAUUGCCAAUCAUGUUGGAGAGUCCAUGUGGUGAUUUCUGAAAACGAGAUGUGAGAAAGAAGAGGAU
rnacentral:lncRNA from 1 species